AAGACACCUUCUUCACCAGGUCUG
rnacentral:snRNA from 1 species